GCGCCGGUAGCUCAACUGGAUAGAGCAUCUGACUACGGAUCAGAAGGUUGAGGGUUCGAAUCCUUCCCGGCGUA
rnacentral:tRNA from 1 species